CUUCCUGACCUUCCUAUAUGUGUGGCAAAGGCUGCAGAGGCUUAUCUAAAUCUCUGUUCUUUCUCUUAUUCAAAACACAACAGGUUGGCCUGGAACAUAUGGCUGUCUGUUCCUUUGUAACAUGGCUAAUGUCUUGAUUUGUGCCCAUAUUUGCAGGCAUGUGGUCUUUCAGUGUCUGCUUAUCUCUUGUAUUAAUCACAGCAGCCGUCUCAAAAAAGGGAAAAAAGGGAAAGAAAAAGAAGGCGGGGCCUGCGAUGAGAAACAGGCAGGCUUUGACUGGACACAGACACAGCAUUCCUGGGACUUGGCCGUACCUCCGAAAGAAUGUUAUUUACUACUUCUGGCCCUCCAAAGACAUGUCAGAGCCCUACCCAUUUCCCUCCUGAAGUUGUCAUAGUUCACAGGGAAGGAAGAAGGUGCAUUUUACUCUGGUGUUGGGUAUACAAUAAGACUAGAAUACAGCUGGAAGUGUAAGUUAGACGGAGCAGAUCAUAUACCAUAUGAUGUGGGAAUGCCCAUUGAUAAAUGGUUUUUGGAGUGAGGUCCAACAAAAUAGCAGAAAUAACUAAAUAUGUGCUCCCCAAAGAUCCAAGCAUAGUAUUAUUGGGUUAUAUAAAGGAAGUAGUUCUCGAAGUGGAUUGAGCACUGAUAUUGAAUUUAGUAGCAGUGGCCAGAGUGUGCAGAGCAGCAAGAUGGAAAUCGCAUGGGGCCCCAUCGCUCCAGAACAGGUUUGAGAAAGACUGGCACACUGCACUGAUGCUGAAAUUAACAUAUUGCCAUGCACUUGCCUGUGGCCACAGUCUCCAGCUGCCUCCCUUCCUCGGCUUCUGCUCAAAGUCUAUUGAAGUAGCCUCAGAGGUGCUGUGGAGAGGGUUAUCGUCACCCUCUUCCUCUGCCAGCCACCAGGGAGAGGGGUCAGACCGCUCCUCACUGGGAGUCCGUAGGGCCAAGUUACUCCCAUCUCUCCUGACCUCCUCAUCCCUGGCCAUCCAAACAUUAAAUGAAGCCCUGCAAUCAGGGCAAUCCCAUUUACCCUCCCCAAUCUAGCUGCUUCCAGCCUCCCACCUUCAGCUGUUGUUUGUCUCUCCGGCUAUUGAGGCCCUGCCUUCUCCUCUUCGCCACCAGGUGGCAACCUGUUGGGCAAUGCUGGCCCACCCAAGAUCUGUUGGUUCCUGGGUCUCUUAGCUUCCUCUGACAACUGGAGAAGGUCCUGGCGGGCUUUAACUGUACCCAGGAGCGGUGUGGCCUCCAUCUUCUUGGCCUUGUGACUGGGUUACCUUAAGGACUACUUUCUCCCACAUGAACCUGCCUGAAGGUCAGUCCCAGAGGCCUGGCUCUCUGGCCCUCCAAGGACAGAAAUGCAUUUGGCAGGUACUAAAGGCAGGAUCUUUUUGGUAGUGGCUCCUCAAUCUAUUCUCUCUCCAAGGAGACUUGCCUCUCCCACACUGGCUAUCUUCAAAUGGAAGGUGAAUCUAAUACAGGGAAUGUCUUCAUUUCGUGCUGUGGUGGUGUCACUGUGAUUGUAAUGUAUAGUAUCUGCUGCUCUUUAAAUUAUCUGCUUUCAACUGCUUUUGAUUGGAAACAUUGUUGUCUUUCGAUUUUAUUUGAUUUUUACGAUGCUAUGUUUUCAUGUACUAAAAGUGUAUCACAAAAAUACCUAAAUAAAGUACUAAAAAUAAGUAA